rnacentral:lncRNA from 1 species
GCCUCCUGCUUUGUUCUUUAUGCUUAGGAUCAUCUUGGCUAUUUGGGCUCAGUUUUGCUUGUAUAUAAGUUUUAAAAUAGUUAUUUCUAGUUCUGUGUAGAAUGUCAUUGGUAUUUUGAUAGGAAUAGCACUGAACCUGUAAAUUGCUUUGGGCAGUAUAGCCAUUUUAAAUAUAUUGAUUCUUCCUAUCUGUAAGCAAGGAUGUAUUUCCACUUAUUUAUGUCAUCUCUGAUUUUGUUGAGCAGUGAUUUGUAAUUAUCAUUGUUGAGAUCUUUCGCCUCCCAGGUUAACUCUAUUCGUAACUUACUUUUUUUUACGGCAAUUGUGAAUGGAAUUGUGUUCCUGAUUUGGCUCUCAGCUUGGCUGUCAUUAGUGUAUAGGAAUAUGAGUGCUUUUUCUUUUGACAUUGAUUUUGUAUCCUGAAACUCUGCUGAAGUUUUUAAUCAGCUGAAGGAGCUUUUGGGCUGAGACUAUGGGGUUUUCUAGAUACAGAAUUAUGUCAUAAGCAAACAGGGAUAGUUUGACUGUCUCCCUUCCUAUUUGGAAGCCCAUUAUUUCUUUCUUUUGCCUGGUUGCUCUGGUCAUUACUGCCAAUACAAUGUUGAAUAGGAGUGGUGAGAGAAGACAUCCUUGUCUUGUGCCAGUUUUCAAGGAGUUGGAUACUAUUAUGAUGCCUACUUCCAGAUGACAAAACUAAGACUCAGAGAAUGCAUAUAUCUUUGGGCAAGGAUAGUAUGGGAUGAAGCCAGAUUCCUGACCAGGUUUAUUGAAAUAUAAUUGACAAAAAUUGCUACAAAGGAAAUUAAAUACCUA